UCCAGGGUAGCCUAGUGGACAUGGCAUCUGCCUGGUAAGCAGAAGGUUGUGGGUUCGAUUCCCGCCCCUGGAC